CAUGCGGGACUCUUACGAGUUAGGGCCUCCGUGCCCGACCUCCAACCCUCUUGUAUCACAACACCUCGUUGCCUCGGGGGUGGCCCUGCCUCGUGGCGGGCCCCCCGGAGGACCACUCAAACACUGCAUUUUAAUGUCGUCUGAGUUAGAUUUUAAAUGAAAUCAAAACUUUCAACAACGGAUCUCUUGGUUCUGGCAUCGAUGAAGAACGCAGCGAAAUGCGAUAAGUAAUGUGAAUUGCAGAAUUCAGUGAAUCAUCGAAUCUUUGAACGCAUAUUGCGCCCCUUGGUAUUCCUUGGGGCACACCUGUUCGAGCGUCAUUUCACCAAUCAAGCCUCGCUUGGUGUUGGGCGAUGCGCACGUCGCACGCCUCAAAUGCCCCGGCCGAGCAGUCUCUCACCCGGCGUCGUGGAAACAUACCGCUACGGAGACGAGACCUGCCCGUGCCGCAGAAUAAUCUAUUUUCUAAAGGUUGACCUCGGAUCAGGUGGGGAUACCCGCUGAACUUAAGCAUAUCAAUAAGCGGAGGAAA
rnacentral:rRNA from 1 species